AUUGAGCGCUGGCGGCAUGCCUUACACAUGCAAGUCGAACGGCAGCGGGGGAGAAGCUUGCUUUUCCUGCCGGCGAGUGGCGAACGGGUGAGUAAUACAUCGGAACGUGCCCUGUAGUGGGGGAUAACUAGUCGAAAGAUUAGCUAAUACCGCAUACGACCUGAGGGUGAAAGUGGGGGACCGCAAGGCCUCAUGCUAUAGGAGCGGCCGAUGUCUGAUUAGCUAGUUGGUGGGGUAAAGGCCUACCAAGGCGACGAUCAGUAGCUGGUCUGGGAGGACAAUCAGCCAAACUGGGACUGAGACACGGCCCAGACUCCUACGGGAGGCAGCAGUGGGGAAUUUUGGACAAUGGGCGAAAGCCUUAUCCAGCAAUGCCGCGUGUGUGAAGAAGGCCUUCGGGUUGUAAAGCACUUUUGUCCGGAAAGAAAUGGCUCUGGUUAAUACCUGGGGUCGAUGACGGUACCGGAAGAAUAAGGACCGGCUAACUACGUGCCAGCCGCCGCAGUAA
rnacentral:rRNA from 1 species